CAGUCGCCGCGGUAAUACGUAGGGUGCAAGCGUUAAUCGGAAUUACUGGGCGUAAAGCGUGCGUAGGCGGCUUUUUAAGUCGGAUGUGAAAUCCCUGAGCUUAACUUAGGAAUUGCAUUCGAUACUGGGAAGCUAGAGUAUGGGAGAGGAUGGUAGAAUUCCAGGUGUAGCGGUGAAAUGCGUAGAGAUCUGGAGGAAUACCGAUGGCGAAGGCAGCCAUCUGGCCUAAUACUGACGCUGAGGUACGAAAGCAUGGGGAGCAAACAGGAUUAGAUACCCCCGUAGUCCCUGUCUCUUAUAA
rnacentral:rRNA from 1 species